CGAGUUGCUAAUACCGGAUAAUCCUUUUCCUCUCAUGAGGAAAAGCUGAAAGUCGGUUUCGGCUGACACUUACAGAUGGGCCCGCGGCGCAUUAGCUAGUUGGUGAGGUAACGGCUCACCAAGGCGACGAUGCGUAGCCGACCUGAGAGGGUGAUCGGCCACACUGGGACUGAGACACGGCCCAGACUCCUACGGGAGGCAGCAGUAGGGAAUCUUCCACAAUGGACGAAAGUCUGAUGGAGCAACGCCGCGUGAGCGAUGAAGGCCUUCGGGUCGUAAAGCUCUGUUGUUAGGGAAGAACAAGUACCGGAGUAACUGCCGGUACCUUGACGGUACCUAACCAGAAAGCCACGGCUAACUACGUGCCAGCAGCCGCGGUAAUACAUAGG
rnacentral:rRNA from 1 species